CCUACGGGAGGCAGCAGUGAGGAAUAUUGGUCAAUGGGCGGAAGCCUGAACCAGCCAAGUCGCGUGAAGGAUGAAGGUCCUAAGGAUUGUAAACUUCUUUUAUAAAGGAAUAAAGUCAGGCACGUGUGCCUUUUUGCAUGUACUUUAUGAAUAAGCAUCGGCUAACUCCGUGCCAGCAGCCGCGGUAAUACGGAGGAUGCGAGCGUUAUCCGGAUUUAUUGGGUUUAAAGGGUGCGUAGGUGGGUUGUUAAGUCAGCGGUUAAAGUUUGGGGCUCAACCGUAAAAUUGCCGUUGAUACUGGCAGUCUUGAGUAGGGUUGAGGUAGGCGGAAUGCGUGGUGUAGCGGUGAAAUGCUUAGAUAUCGCGAAGAACUCCGAUUGCGAAGGCAGCUUACUAGAGGGGAACUGACACUGAUGCACGAAAGUGUGGGUAUCAAACAGGAUUAGAUACCCUAGUAGUC
rnacentral:rRNA from 1 species